UACGUAGGGGGCUAGCGUUGUCCGGAAUCAUUGGGCGUAAAGAGCGUGUAGGCGGCUCGGUAAGUCCGCUGUGAAAGUCGGGGGCUCAACCCUCGAAAGCCGGUGGAUACUGUCGGGCUAGAGUACGGAAGAGGCGAGUGGAAUUCCUGGUGUAGCGGUGAAAUGCGCAGAUAUCAGGAGGAACACCAAUUGCGAAGGCAGCUCGCUGGGACGUUACUGACGCUGAGACGCGAAAGCGUGGGGAGCAAACAGG
rnacentral:rRNA from 1 species